AUUGUUAAGACAAUCUAUUCCAAAUGAUCCAAUUAACAUAAAGGGGUAUCAAUUGUUUCGAAGAGAUCGUACAAAUAGACUCCACGGAGGAGUUUGUUUGUACGUAAAAAACAGUAUUGAAAGUAAGAUCUUGACUGAUCUUUACAACGACGAUCACGAAGUUUUAUGGUGCCUUUUGUGACCAAAACGCCUGCCUCGAGGAUUCUCACAUAUCAUAGCUGCAGUUGUCUAUCAUCCUUCCGAUGCCAAUAAUAUCUCAACGAAAGAAUAUCUUAAAAACUCAUUAGAAUUUAUCGAAUCAAAUUACCCUAAC